GCUCAGCACCCCCAAAGCUCUGAUCCUAGAAUCGCCCCUGCAACAAUGUAAAUGAAACUGUUAGAGGGUUUGGUGGAAAGAAAAUAAUGAACCACAAUCUAGAACUGAUCCACAAAAAAAUGUAGGAAACUCCUCUUCAUGUUUAUAUUGUUCAUUACUUCCACAGUAAACUUUUAUCACACCAUCACUGAUGAGAAAGAGUGCUGGAUUAAAGGUAGAAACUGGAGCAGCUUGUCAGUAUGUUAAUAUGUCAAUGAGUGACUUUGUUUUCUUGUAUUUAGCUUUGUUGCCCCCAUGUCGACAUGUGUUUGAAGCUGAAGGUAGUUUGGUGAGUGGUGAAGCUGAGUUUUUGACCGAUCAGUUGAACUUCUGAUGAUGGACAAAUUGAAGCUUUCACUGAAAGCAUCUCACCAAUAAAUUACUACCAGAAACCGAGACACAAAAGCAGAAGAGGGACUGCCUUUACCAUUUUCUCUAAGUAAAUGAAAAUGAUUUGAGAUAAAAUAGAAACUGCUUCUUGUUGAUGAUAGAUAGCCCACAAUAUUCUGGAUUUGAGUAUAAAAAUAAAUUUUGGUUG
ensembl:lncRNA